GACGAACGCUGGCGGCGUGCUUAACACAUGCAAGUCGAGCGGUAAGGCCCUUUCGGGGGUACACGAGCGGCGAACGGGUGAGUAACACGUGGGUGACCUGCCCUCAGCUCUGGGAUAAGCCUGGGAAACCGGGUCUAAUACUGGAUAUGACUCCAUGACGCAUGUUGUGGGGUGGAAAGCCUUGUGCGGCUGAGGAUGGGCCCGCGGCCUAUCAGCUUGUUGGUGGGGUGANGGCCUACCAAGGCGACGACGGGUAGCCGGCCUGAGAGGGCGACCGGCCACACUGGGACUGAGACACGGCCCAGACUCCUACGGGAGGCAGCAGUGGGGAAUCUUGCGCAAUGGGCGAAAGCCUGACGCAGCGACGCCGCGUGAGGGAUGACGGCCUGGUGUAACUACUUCUA
rnacentral:rRNA from 1 species